UCUCUACCCAUGCGGGGAAGGAUGAGAAGCUUCGACUAAGGUUCGAUUCGAGCGCAGCGAGAACGCGUUGCCGCAGGCAACGACCCGAAGGGCGAAGCGCGCAGCGCUGAGUCAUCCUUCCCCCACCACCA
rnacentral:sRNA from 1 species